rnacentral:rRNA from 1 species
GAUGAACGCUGGCGGCGUGCCUAAUACAUGCAAGUCGAGCGAACAGACGAGGAGCUUGCUCCUCUGACGUUAGCGGCGGACGGGUGAGUAACACGUGGAUAACCUACCUAUAAGACUGGGAUAACUUCGGGAAACCGGAGCUAAUACCGGAUAAUAUAUUGAACCGCAUGGUUCAAUAGUGAAAGACGGUUUUGCUGUCACUUAUAGAUGGAUCCGCGCCGCAUUAGCUAGUUGGUAAGGUAACGGCUUACCAAGGCAACGAUGCGUAGCCGACCUGAGAGGGUGAUCGGCCACACUGAAACUGAGACACGGUCCAGACUCCUACGGGAGGCAGCAGUAGGGAAUCUUCCGCAAUGGGCGAAAGCUUGACGGAGCAACGCAGCGUGAGUGAUGAAGGUCUUCGGAUCGUAAAACUCUGUUAUUAGGGAAGAACAAAUGUGUAAGUAACUAUGCACGUCUUGACGGUACCUAAUCAGAAAGCCACGGCUAACUACGU